UACGAAGGGGGCUAGCGUUGUUCGGAUUUACUGGGCGUAAAGCGCACGUAGGCGGAUUGUUAAGUCGGGGGUGAAAUCCUGGAGCUCAACUCCAGAAUUGCCUUCGAUACUGGCUUUCUAGAGGCUGGAAGAGGUUAGUGGAAUUCCCAGUGUAGAGGUGAAAUUCGUAGAUAUUGGGAAGAACACCAGUGGCGAAGGCGGCUAACUGGUCCAGAUCUGACGCUGAGGUGCGAAAGCGUGGAGAGCAAACAGG
rnacentral:rRNA from 1 species